rnacentral:piRNA from 1 species
UAUUACUACUGCCGUUGCCAUCAGAAUU